UACAGAGGUCCCAAGCGUUGUUCGGAUUUACUGGGCGUAAAGGGUGCGUAGGUGGUGAGGUAAGUCUGAUGUGAAAACUCGAGGCUCAACCUCGGGCUUGCAGUGGAUACGGGCAGACUAGAGUGCGGUAGGGAAGACUGGAAUUCCUGGUGUAGCGGUGGAAUGCGCAGAUAUCAGGAGGAACACCGAUGGCGAAGGCAGGUCUCUGGGCCGCAACUGACGCUGAGGAGCGAAAGCAUGGGGAGCGAACAGG
rnacentral:rRNA from 1 species